UUCCGUAGGUGAACCUGCGGAGGGAUCAUUACUGAGUUACCGCUCUAUAACCCUUUGUGAACAUACCUACAACUGUUGCUUCGGCGGGUAGGCCGUCCCCUGAAAAGGACGCCUCCCGGCCCGGACCGGACCCCCCGCGGGACCGGACCCGGCGCCCGCCGGAGGAUAACCAAACUCUAUUGUAACGACGUUUCUUCUGAGUGGCAUAAGCAAAAUAAUCAAAACUUUUAACAACGGAUCUCUUGGUUCUGGCAUCGAUGAAGAACGCAGCGAAAUGCGAUAAGUAAUGUGAAUUGCAGAAUUCAGUGAAUCAUCGAAUCUUUGAACGCACAUUGCGCCCGCCAGCAUUCUGGCGGGCAUGCCUGUUCGAGCGUCAUUUCAACCCUCAAGCUCUGCUUGGUGUUGGGGCUCUACGGUCGACGUAGGCCCUCAAAGGUAGUGGCGGACCCUCCCGGAGCCUCCUUUGCGUAGUAACAUUUCGUCUCGCACUGGGAUCCGGAGGGACUCUUGCCGUAAAACCCCCCAAUUUUCCAAAGGUUGACCUCGGAUCAGGUAG
rnacentral:rRNA from 1 species